UACGAAGGGGGCUAGCGUUGUUCGGAAUUACUGGGCGUAAAGGGCGCGUAGGCGGUGCAUCAAGUCAGGCGUGAAAGCCCCGGGCUCAACCUGGGAACCGCGCUUGAGACUGGUGCGCUAGAGUCCGGGAGAGGAUGGUGGAAUUCCCAGUGUAGAGGUGAAAAUUCGUAGAUAUUCGCAAGAACACCAGUGGCGAAGGCGGCUCACUGGCCCGGAACUGACGCUGAGGCACGAAAAGCGUGGGGAGCAAACAGG
rnacentral:rRNA from 1 species